UACGAAGGAUCCAAGCGUUAUCCGGAUUUAUUGGGUUUAAAGGGUGCGUAGGCGGGUUGUUAAGUCAGUGGUGAAAUCUUGCAGCUUAACUGUAAAAUUGCCAUUGAUACUGACGAUCUUGAGUACAUUUGAAGUGGGCGGAAUAUGUCAUGUAGCGGUGAAAUGCUUAGAGAUGACAUAGAACACCGAUUGCGAAGGCAGCUCACUAAACUGUAACUGACGCUGAGGCACGAAAGCGUGGGGAU
rnacentral:rRNA from 1 species